rnacentral:rRNA from 1 species
GACAGAGGGUGCAAACGUUGUUCGGAAUUACUGGGCGUAAAGCGCGUGUAGGCUGCUUCAUAAGUCGGGUGUGAAAGCCCUGGGCUCAACCUAGGAAGUGCACUCGAAACUGCGAAGCUUGAGUCCUGGAGAGGAAGGCGGAAUUCUCGGUGUAGAGGUGAAAUUCGUAGAUAUCGAGAGGAACACCGGUGGCGAAGGCGGCCUUCUGGACAGUGACUGACGCUGAGACGCGAAAGCUAGGGGAGCGAACAGG